AGUCUACCUGCCCACUGAAUUUAUUUAAAUGGCCGCAGUAUCCUAACUGUGCAAAGGUAGCAUAAUCAUUAGUCUUUUAAUUGAAGGCUGGUAUGAAUGGUUGGACGAGAUAUUAACUGUUUCAUAAAAAUUUAUAAUAGAAUUUUAUUUUUUAGUCAAAAAGCUAAAAUAAAAUUAAAAGACGAGAAGACCCUAUAAAUCUUUAUAUAUAAACUAUUAGAAUUUUGUAGAUUUUUUUUAUUAUAAUAGUUGAUUAUAUUUUAUUGGGGUGAUAUUAAAAUUUAAUAAACUUUUAAUUGUUUAAAUCAUUAAUUUAUGAAUAAUUGAUCCGUUAAUAACGAUUAAAAAAAUAAGUUACUUUAGGGAUAACAGCGUAAUUUUUUUGGAGAGUUCAUAUCGAUAAAAAAGAUUGCGACCUCGAUGUUGGAUUAAGAUAUAAUUUUAGGUGUAGCCGCUUAAAUUUUAAGUCUGUUCGACUUUUAAAUUCUUACAU
rnacentral:rRNA from 1 species